UACGGAGAGUGCGAGCGUUGUCCGGAAUCACUGGGCGUAAAGGGCGCGUAGGCGGCGCGGAAAGUCAACGGUGAAAGCUUGGGGCUCAACCCCGAGUCGGCCGUCGAUACUUCCGUGCUCGAGCACUGUAGAGGCAGGUGGAAUUCCGGGUGUAGCGGUGGAAUGCGUAGAGAUCCGGAAGAACACCGGUGGCGAAGGCGGCCUGACUGGGCCAGUUGCUGGACGCUGAUGCGCGAGAGCGUGGGGAGCAAACAGG
rnacentral:rRNA from 1 species